rnacentral:rRNA from 1 species
CCUACGGGUGGCUGCAGUGAGGAAUAUUGCGCAAUGGGGGAAACCCUGACGCAGCCACGCCGCGUGGAGGAUGACACUGCUCUGCAGCGUAAACUCCUUUUAUAUGGGAAGAAUGGCGCAGUUGCUGCGACGUGACGGUACCAUAUGAAUAAGCACCGGCUAACUCCGUGCCAGCAGCCGCGGUAAUACGGAGGGUGCAAGCGUUGUCCGGAAUCACUGGGUGUAAAGGGUGUGUAGGCGGAACGGUCAGUCGGAGGUGAAAGCCUGCAGCUUAA